UAUGCUUCUUUAACUCUCUCUGGAAUGAGGGCUGUUUCCCGUCCCGCUGGAAGGAGGCGAUCAUCAUUCCACUGCUAAAACCAGGGAAAAGUCCUUCCAGUCCAAGCAGUUACAGGCCUAUUGCCCUUACCAGUUGCUUAGGAAAAACUUUUGAACGUAUGGUGAACUGCAGGCUUAUGUACUACCUUGAAGAAAAUGAAUGCCUAGACCGAUAUCAGUGUGGCUUUAGAACUGCAUGCUCAACAACAGACCAGCUAUUACGUUUGGAGACUGUUAUUAGGGAGGCUUUUGUCAGACGGCAGCAUUGUGUAUCCAUCUUUUUCGACCUCGAAAAGGCGUACGAUACCGCCUGGCGGUAUGGCAUCCUUCGUGACCUACACUCUUUUGAGAUACGUAGUCGACUCUUCCGUUGCGUUGCAAACUUUCUUCAGGGGAGAACAUUUAGGGUGCAGCUGGGAACUGUACAGUCCCGCCUGUUCACACAAGAGAAUGGAGUCCCGCAGGGGUCUGUUCUAAGCGUAACACUCUUUAUUGUAAAGAUGAACUCUGUCGUCCAUGCAAUUCCACCGUCUGUCACAUACUCCUUAUAUGUGGAUGACAUUCAAAUAUCCUGUUCUUCCACAAGCGUUUCUAGGUGUGAGAGACAGCUCCAGCUCACCAUAAACAAACUUUCAGACUGGUCCACCAAAAACGGUUUCAAGUUUUCUCCUGAGAAAACUGUUUGUGUUCCAUUCUCAAGAGUGAGGGGUGUGUUUCCUGAGCCUACACUCAGAAUGAAUGGCCAGGAUAUUACUGUCAUACCUGAACACAAAUUCCUUGGUGUCAUCUUUGACCAAAAGCUCAAUUUCGUGUCUCACAUAAAAAAUCUCAGAGUCAAGUCAAUGAAGGCCUUAAAUAUACUCAAGAUCUUGUCGCACAGGUCUUGGGGUGCAGACCGGGAAGUCCUGCGUCGUAUUUAUAUUUCCGUCAUUCGCUCAAAGCUUGACUACGGGUCUUUGGUUUAUGGCUCUGCACGGAGGUCUGCGCUGGCGAUUUUAGACCCGGUUCACCACCAUGGUCUCCGUCUGGUGUUGGGAGCUUUUCGAACAUCACCAGUUGAAAGCUUUUAUGCAGAGUGCAAUGAAUGGUCGCUGGAAAAACGGAGAUUUUGCCUUGCCUCUACGUAUGCAAUGAAGGGACAACACAUUUCAUACGAAGUGUCAGUGCUACCGGAGCCUGAAGAAAAGAAGUGACCCGUACAGUAUCUGUAUCUCUCUUGACAGCGCUGGUACUAUUGUGUACACCCGCUGUGGUUGUCCUGCUGGAAAGGCUGUAUGUAACCACAUCCUGGCAUCACUACGCCUGUUGUCCUUGCUACAGCAGAAAGGGUAUGCAGAAGCACCCGCCCAGCUUUCUUGUACAGAAUUGCCUCAGAGAUGGAGGGUGCCAAGGAAGUAGGUUGUGAAUGGUACAGCAGUACAAGCAGUAGACUGGAGGAAGAUUGAAGAAAAUGGAGCAGAAAACAGCCUACCUCUACGGCUUUACGAUGCAAGGACUAAACUACAGACGAAGGAAGAGGAAAUCCAGGCAGUAGAGAAAUUUGCUGAAGCGCUUGCAUUACUCGAUGGGAAGCAGGGCUUCGCUACCUCUCUUCUGGGGGCCAAAUUAGAGUUCCGAGAAACAAAGUUUGGACCGUCGCUAGUAGGAGCUCCUUUGACUUAUCACCAGCCAAUGACCCCAGCAGGGUCUAAAACCUACCUAUGUGCUAAUUUUGCGAGCAUACGGCAUGGGAUAUCUGAUCCAUUCGAUGCCACAUUUUUUGAAGACUGCACUCCAUGGCAAGUUCCAAGCAACCUCCCUACAGCGUACCAAAGGACACUGAUGCCACUUUGUCUCACACAAAGCAGUGCAAGAGAGCUUGAAAGAAGUUCACGCCAGCAGAGUGCCAGCACAUUGUGGAGGGAUGCACGUGUCCACAGGUUGACUGCGUCGAAGUUUGGAGUUGCCUAAAACGUGACAGUUGGACUAGAAGAGGCUUGGACAACAUAUUGCGAACCAAAGACCUUUCUCGGGUUCGCGCUAUUCAGUAUGGCAUCACUAACGAGCUCACAGCUGUCCAGCGCUACAAGGAUACCCUGCACUCACGCGGCCAUGAUGUUGUGGUCUCCUGUUAAGGACUAUUUGUCCACCCUGAAACACCUUGGCUAGGAGCAAGCCCCGACAGAAUUGUGUUCGACCCAACAGAGGCAAGCCCAUAUGGGGUACUAGAGGUCAAAUGCCCCUACUAACUACGUGACACAGCAGGCGAGCUACUAAAAGAGCGUAGCUCCUACGUGACAUUCAACGAGGACCAUCCGUACCUGCGCAGGGAUCAUGACUACUAUUUCCAAGUUGUUGGCCAAAUAGGGUUGACAGGACUGCAGUGGGCAGACUUCGUGCUCUACGGUCCUGGCUUCCUAACUGUUGAAAGGAUUAGGUUCGAUGAAGCGGAAUGAAAAACCUUGAGGGCGAAACUCACAAGGUUCUACUUCCGUGAUGUUCUGCCAUAUUUUGCAAGGCAGUGACUUUCAUUUUGUAUUAUCGCUAUCAACUGAAAUGCACAACCAUUCACAAUAAACCUUGUAGUUCUUUUA